UACGAAGGGGGCUAGCGUUGUUCGGAAUUACUGGGCGUAAAGCGCGCGCAGGCGGUUUUUCAAGUCAGUGGUGAAAGCCCGGAGCUCAACUCCGGAAAUGCCAUUGAAACUGUAAAACUUGAGGACGAGAGAGGUGAGUGGAAUUCCCAGUGUAGAGGUGAAAUUCGUAGAUAUUGGGAAGGAAACACCGGUGGCGAAGGCGGCUCACUGGCUCGUUUCUGACGCUCAGGCGCGAUAGCGUGGGGAUCAAACAGG
rnacentral:rRNA from 1 species